rnacentral:rRNA from 1 species
GAUGAACGCUAGCGGCAGGCCUAAUACAUGCAAGUCGAACGGUGUCUUCGGACAUAGUGGCGCACGGGUGCGUAACACGUAUGCAACCUACCUUACAUUGGGGGAUAGCCUUUCGAAAGGGAGAUUAAUACCGCAUAAGACAGUAGCUGGGCAUCCAGCAGCUGUUAAAGAUUUAUCGGUGUAAGAUGGGCAUGCGUCCAAUUAGUUAGUUGGCGAGGUAAUGGCUCACCAAGACUUUGAUUGGUAGGGGAACUGAGAGGUCAAUCCCCCACACUGGCACUGGGAUACGGGCCAGACUCCUACGGGAGGCAGCAGUAGGGAAUAUUGGGCAAGGGACGCGAGUCUGACCCAGCCAUGCCGCGUGCAGGAUGAAGGCGUUAUGCGUUGUAAACUGCUUUUAUACAGGAAGAAACGACUCUUGCGAGAGGCAUUGACGGUACUGUAUGAAUAAGCACCGGCUAACUCCGUGCCAGCAGCCGCCGUAA